rnacentral:rRNA from 1 species
ACCGUGCUAAGGUAGCAUAAUAAUUUGCCUUUUAAUUGGAGGCUGGCAUGAACGGAUAAACGAGAAUAAAGCUGUCUCAAAAGAAGCCAUAAAAAUUAAGUUUUAGGUGAAGACGCCUAAAUUACCCUAAAGGACAAAAAGACCCUGUUGAGCUUAACCCUCUACAAACCUAUAAACUUUGUUCAGGUUUAGUUGGGGCGACUAAUGGAGAAACAAAGCUCCUUUACAACAAAGACCUCGUGUCACCACUAAUGACCUGCUUAAGCAAUCAAUAGAAAAGCUACCACAGGGAUAACAGACUAAUCCUCCUCAAGAGCCCAAAUUGACAGGAGGGCUUGGCACCUCG